AGACCAUAGAUAGUAUAGAAGACAGCGCGCUAGCGUGUCUAGUCUAUGUAUAUCUAUGGUCGGCACGUCUGGUAGCAUCUCUGGCUGCUGUUGAUCUUGUUUUUGGAGUAAAACACGGUGGAAGCUGAAUUAGUGAGGAUGACUCCUGCUCCUGUCAUCUCUAAGCUCCUCACACAUCUUUACCUGCACAUGAGGAAAAUCACUCCUGUAGAAUGCAGAUGUUCAGAGGGAGAUGAUGCCACAUCUGGUCCAGCUGAUGGAAGGUCUUGAAGUUCUCUGACUGGCCUCGACUGAAGAUGGUCGUCUCACUGGAUUUAAGGUUCAGAUGCUCAGUAACAAACUCCACCAAUGUGCCAACAGGGAAGCUUUAGGUUUAUUAAAUGUUGCUAUGAAGGUUUCGCUGUUUUUCUUUGUGAAUGCAAUGUGCUACAACUGAAACUUGAAUUAGAACUUAGAAGUAAAUCCUUCCAUCUGAAAGGAUUUAGUUGCAUUAAUAACCUCAUAACAUUCUAAUUUUUAUUCCAGUCUUAGUUGGAAAUAGAAUCUCUGUAUUGAUUCAGGUAAAAACUGAACUUCACAGCAUGUUGGAGCAAAACAACCAGAUGAAAACUGUGAUGGUGUUGGAUUGUCAGACCGUAAUAUUGCAGCUCAAAGCAGCUUUUCUAGCUCAGUUCAUUCUGACAUUCAGCUAUGAAUCAACACAGCAGAUGGUGAUCCAUGCUGUGGAAGUCUCACAUCUCCUGAUUUAAUGGAGCUGCUUUGCACUUUUUACACUGUUUAUUCACCAACCUCCUCAUUAAAGGAGAAAACAGGAGAUAUUGUUGGUUCUUCUGUCCCUCUGCAGUUUCCUUAGACUGAAUAUCAAGUUUAUAUUUUAUGUGAUUUCCCAUGUGAGCCAAAGAAGACUUCAAUAAACUCCCUCCAUCCCCUGGAC